GUGGGGUUGUAGCUCAGUGGUAGAGUGCUUGCUUAGCAUGUUGAGGCACUGGGUUCAAUUUUCAGCACCACA
rnacentral:tRNA from 1 species